rnacentral:rRNA from 1 species
AGGACGAACGCUGGCGGCGUGCUUAACACAUGCAAGUCGAACGGUGAAGGGACCUUCGGGUCCCGGAUCAGUGGCGAACGGGUGAGUAACACGUGGGCAACCUGCCCCUAGCUCUGGAAUAACCCCGGGAAACCGAGGCUAAUACCGGAUACGACCCUGCGCGGCAUCGCGCGGGGUGGAAAGUUUUUCGGCUAGGGAUGGGCUCGCGGCCUAUCAGCUUGUUGGUGGGGUAACGGCCCACCAAGGCGACAACGGGUAG